GACGAACGCUGGCGGCGUGCUUAACACAUGCAAGUCGAACGGAAAGGCCCUGCUUUUGUGGGGUGCUCGAGUGGCGAACGGGUGAGUAACACGUGAGUAACCUGCCCUUGACUUUGGGAUAACUUCAGGAAACUGGGGCUAAUACCGGAUAGGAUCUCCUGCUGCAUGGUGGGGGUUGGAAAGUUUCGGCGGUUGGGGAUGGAUUGGCGGCUUAUCAGCUUGUUGGUGGGGUAGUGGCUUACCAAGGCUUUGACGGGUAGCCGGCCUGGGAGGGUGGACGGGCACAUUGGGACUGCGGGAGGGAGCAGACGCGAACGUGAGGCAGCAGGGGGGAGUAUGGCACAAUGGGCGGAAGCGUGAUGCGGCAACCCCGCGGUCGGGAUGACGGCCUUCGGGUUGUAAACCGCUUUCGCCUGUGACGAAGCGGGAGUGACGGUAAUGGAUGAAGAAGCACCGGCUAACUACGUG
rnacentral:rRNA from 1 species